rnacentral:lncRNA from 1 species
UUUUUUUUUUUUAUUUUGUUUUUCUUUUUCAAUUUUUCUUCAAUUUGUCCUAUGGGAUUCAGGGAUCACCCUACUAGCGCAAGCGAGAAAAACCUUUGGCCAGGCCAAUUUGCCCCAAUGUAAAGGUUUACUUUGUUACUAAGGGUGGUGACAAAGUUUGUUGGGGACGAUCCUUUAUUUUGGAAAAAAGAAGGAUGAAGAUUUUCAAGCAACAUGUGCACAAACGUCUUGAGGAAAAUGUCAAAUUGUUAUUUUUGAUUAAACAUUUGACCUCGGCAAAGUAUGACAUCACGAUUUUCUUUAAAAGAAUAUAGAAAAAUGAAAUUAAAUCCAAUAAGAAAUAAUCAAAACUAAAUAUUAAAAUAAAAAAAAUAAAAUAAAAUAAAAUAAGACAAAAAAUAAAAAAAUAAAAUAAAACUAGUCCUAUAAUUUAAUCACCCGCACGAAAUUGGGUGUUGACACCAUCCAAAACCUUCACCUUUCCAACAUCACGUUCUUGCUCCCGAGUAAAACUUCAAACCACUCUUUUUAUCUCCCAGGAACUAUCUCCCAAUGCACACACCACUCUUAUCUUCGUUUCCAAACUUUGUAAGUAAGAUACUCAAUCUCUCUUGUCCUUUCUACUUUUAUAAUCCAUAUAUCCACUAACCCUAUUUGUUCGUCUCCCCAUAAGCCUUUCUUUUCAGGAAAACUGUUUGUAAAAUCACCACAAACAACUGAUCCCUCCGAUUUUAUUUAUUUAUAUAUAUUUUUCUUUCUUUUUUUUUCUACGUUGUUACUAACCGUAAUUUUAACUGCACCAGUCCCCACCAUUAACUCUUAACUCCACAAGACCUUAAUUCCUUUAAAG